GUCUCAGUGUUCAUGAUGCAGGUGGUAUGAGGCUCUCACAUUGUUAAAAAUAAUGUAUAACAUUGAUGCUAUUUUUAAAUAUCACUACAGUACUUGUUCUUUGUUGAUUUAUUAAAUCAAGAUUUGAAUUUUGAAGGCCACCUUUUCUUUUUUACGCACCUUGGCUUAGUUUCUGUCUCUUACUAUAGCUUUGUCUGUUACCUGUUCUUGCUGAUGGCUACCACAUGUGUGCUAGAUUUUCUGUGGACCUGGAUGGGUGCAUGCAUUUGCAAUGCAGUUAAUUUAAAGUUUUUCAGUAACUCCUAGACCUGGUAAAGAUCAUGACCCGGCAGGUGCAAUGGAUACACCUGUGAAGAAAAGAAGACUCGAUACCAGCCCUCAGAAAGAGGAUAGUCUAGUGGAGAGUCAGCUAAAUUGUACAACUGCUAGAACACUGGUGUAGCAAUAUCAAAGAAUACUCAUCUGGGAGGUCGGGAAAGAUGAGUGAUGUAAAAUGCACUGUUUCGGUGGACAGACUCUAGAUUUAGGGGUUAGGAAACAAGUAUGACUCCUGGAUCUGACUCCCACCGGUUAUGAGUCCGUGAAGGGCAAGAAUGGAUUUAACUGAGACCAACCAAACCCAUUGCUGUCAAGUCGAUCCUAACUCAUAGCGACC